rnacentral:rRNA from 1 species
CAGCACCUCAAGUGGUCAGGAUGAUUAUUGGGCCUAAAGCAUCCGUAGCCGGCGCUGUAAGUUUUCGGUUAAAUCUGUACGCUCAACGUACAGGCUGCCGGGAAUACUGCAGCGCUAGGGAGUGGGAGAGGUAGACGGUACUCGGUAGGAAGGGGUAAAAGCCUUUGAUCUAUUGAUGACCACCUGUGGCGAAGGCGGUCUACCAGAACACAUCCGACGGUGAGGGAUGAAAGCUGGGGGAGCAAACCGGAUUAGAGACCCCAGUAGUCC